AGCAGCCGCGGUAAUUCCAGCUCCAAUAGCGUAUAUUAAAGUUGUUGCAGUUAAAAAGCUCGUAGUUGAAUUUCGGGACCAAUUUGUUGGUCGUGCCUCGGUACGUACUGAUAUUAUUGGUUUCUCCCUUCUGAAGAACCAUGAUGCCAUUAAUUUGGUGUCGUGGGGAAUCAGGACUGUUACUUUGAAAAAUUAGAGUGUUUAAAGCAGGCUUUCGCUUGAAUACAUUAGCAUGGAAUAAUGAAAUAGGACGUUUGAUUCUAUUUUGUUGGUUUCUAGGAUCGACGUAAUGAUUAAUAGGGAUAGUUGGGGGCAUUAGUAUUCAAUUGUCAGAGGUGAAAUUCUUGGAUUUAUUGAAGACUAACUACUGCGAAAGCAUUUGCCAAGGAUGUUUUCAUUAAUCAAGAACGAAAGUUAGGGGAUCGAAGACGAUCAGAUACCGUCGUAGUCUUAACCAUAAACUAUGCCGACUAGGGAUCGGAUGAUGUUAAUUUUUAAUGACUCAUUCGGCGCCUUACGG
rnacentral:rRNA from 1 species